AGACAUGAAAGAUACUUUGCAAUGACCAGUGCUGCAGAACAUGGCUAAAACUGAUUUCAUCAAGGACAGGUAACUUGAGUUCAGAGUAAUGCUACAUGUUCUGGCUUUUAAAUCAGAGGUCCUGCCUCCUUUUGCUCUACAUCAGGGGUUUUCAACCUUUUUUGGAGUUGGACAAACUUGCUGCUGUCUGUGCAAGUACUAUACACUGCUGAAAUGGUAUGGAUUCACCGCUGGAGUGGCAUAGUGGCAGCGUACCAGCUGGCAUACAGUACUUACAGCAAGAUAAAAAGGACAUUUUGAUCACAGAUUCUAAGGCAAACUUUUAGAAUUACAGAAAGUGCUAUCAGUUGUAAUUGGGUAUCACAGUAGUUUAACAAGAGAAGUUUUGCAGCAAAGAGUUUUUAUCAACCUGCUUUGAAGACAGUUCAGACUGUAGACAGGAAUGAAAAGCAUUAUACACUAGGGCUGUACGAAACAGGCCAUUUUUGAUUCAGAUUCGGCCUGAAUCGG